rnacentral:tRNA from 1 species
AGUGAUAUCACUCAGUGAUAGAGUGCAUGUUUAGCAUGCAUGAGGUCCUGGGUUCAAUCCUCAGUACCUCUA